rnacentral:rRNA from 1 species
AUUGAACGCUGGCGGCAUGCCUUACACAUGCAAGUCGAACGGCAGCACGGGAGCAAUCCUGGUGGCGAGUGGCGAACGGGUGAGUAAUAUAUCGGAACGUGCCCAGUCGUGGGGAUAACGUAGCGAAGCUACGCUAAUACCGCAUACGAUCUACGGAUGAAAGUGGGGGAUCGCAAGACCUCAUGCUCAUGGAGCGGCCGAUAUCUGAUUAGCUAGUUGGUGGGGUAAGGCCUACCAAGGCAUCGAUCAGUAGCUGGUCUGAGAGGACGGCCAGCCACACUGGAACUGAGACACGGUCCAGACUCCUACGGGAGGCAGCAGUGGGGAAUUUUGGACAAUGGGGGCAACCCUGAUCCAGCAAUGCCGCGUGAGUGAAGAAGGCCU